CCUGCUUAGGCCGAGCUGCACGGGUAGCGCACUCUGGCGUCUUAGCCCGGAGGGCUGGGGCGCCCGACCUUGGAGGUGGAGACUUCGGGCUUCUCUGGGAGGCCUCGGCCAGAAAAAGCUCUACAUUUUCUGUCUUUGAAGAAGAAAUUUAGAAAUUGACAAACAGAUGAACUGUGAAUGUUACCGGAUGACAAAUUGAAAGUUAAGCCUGCAGCGGGAAUAUGGGAAGAUAUUACUAACUCAAAUGGCACAAGUUUUUCAGGGAGGAAUUGAUGCCAAAGAUCCCCAAUGGGACAAACUUCUAAACAACAAAACAUAAAAGAUACUGGAUAGAAUACAACAUAGUUCAAACCAUACAAAUAUUAAAUUGGAAUAUAAGAACAAAUACAAACAUUUAAAAAGUUUAAAAAACAUAUACACAAUAAAAUCAUGAAACACUGCACAGAAGCAGC